CGUCUGCGUGUAUUUGUGUGUGUGUGUGUGUGUGCCUGUAUGUUUGUGUAUGCGUAUUUAUUGUUUAAUUAACUUUACGCCUGUCUAUCACACACACACACGCACAGGCACGCAGACACA
rnacentral:miRNA from 1 species